CCUAUAUUUCUAGACGUAGGUACUUAUUGGAGACAUAACCUACCCAUUGAAUAGAAGAAAUUAAAAAAAAAAAUUGUGAGUAACAUUAAAAAAAAUAAAAUUCAAAAUGGGGGUAACCUCCCUAUGAGUCAACUCUAGUAACGCCACUGGGCUCAUUAAUUUCAAGAUUUCUAAAAUGGGCAAGAUAGCGGACUAAUGAAAAGAAAUAGCUUUGUGUCAAAUAAGAAUUUAACAGAUUUUAAAUUUGGUAACUGGUAACUUAAAAAUUUUCCCAAAAUUUAAUAAUCGAUAGCAGUAAAUUAUUAAUUUUCAUUCGAAUGUUAUUUGAGUACCUACAGAUGAGUUUGAUACUCCGAUAUUUUUCUUCCUGGUCUAUGAAUAAUAGAAAAAAAGGACAGUGACAUUUGUCAAACAAAAUGUUCGUGAAAGUUUGAAAAAAUUUAAACAGGUAUUCAAAGGCAAUGGAAUUCUUUGGAAACUGAAGGCUCGAAAUGCAAAAAGAAGAGAAGAGUCUAGUAACAUAUGAGUCGAAUCCAUACCCACAUGAAAUUUUACAUAUAAAAUGUUACGUAAUCAAGUUCAUACGGGAGCAAAUGGAAAAUAUCAGAGGGAGAAAACCACCACCAAAAAAAAAGACUCCCGCUGACAAAGCUCUACCUGAAGUUUCAGAAAAGCAACACACAGAAUCAAAGGCAAAUCGAGAAUCAAAUUCUGAAUGUAAACCAUGGGGAUGGCUACAGUGGCUAUUGCUGUAUUUACUCCUGCUGAUAAUGUUUUUAUAUGGUGCUAUUAUUGGCUCAAAUUUUUGUCAAACAAGAAGAUAUAGCUGUCAUCCUCUUUACCCAUUAAUUGGAUUUGGUAGAAAGGGGCGUGAAGUAAUCUUUUAAAAAUCAAGAGUAUUCUUCAAAACUAUUGUGUUCAUGAUCUAUGUCUCCUAGUAAAAUGUAUUAUACAUUUAUAUUGUAUAUUAUACAUUAAUUUUAUUUAUAUUAUAGAAUCAACAACUUA